rnacentral:tRNA from 1 species
GGGCAUUUAGCUCAGCUGGUUAGAGCGUUUGAUUCACAUUCAAAAGGUCGCAGGUUCGAAUCCUGCAAUGCCCA